GCAGUCGACGGCAGCACGGGGGCAACCCUGGUGGCGAGUGGCGAACGGGUGAGUAACAUAUCGGAACGUGCCCUGGAGUGGGGGAUAACUAGUCGAAAGAUUAGCUAAUACCGCAUACGAUCUACGGAUGAAAGUGGGGGAUCGCAAGACCUCAUGCUCGUGGAGCGGCCGAUAUCUGAUUAGCUAGUUGGUGGGGUAAAGGCCUACCAAGGCAUCGAUCAGUAGCUGGUCUGAGAGGACGACCAGCCACACUGGAACUGAGACACGGUCCAGACUCCUACGGGAGGCAGCAGUGGGGAAUUUUGGACAAUGGGCGCAAGCCUGAUCCAGCAAUGCCGCGUGAGUGAAGAAGGCCUUCGGGUUGUAAAGCUCUUUUGUCAGGGAAGAAACGGUUGAGGCUAAUAUCCUUUACUAAUGACGGUACCUGAAGAAUAAGCACCGGCUAACUACGUGCCAGCAGCCGCGGUAAUACGUAGGGUGCAAGCGUUAAUCGGAAUUACUGGGCGUAAAGCGUGCGCAGGCGGUUUUGUAAGUCUGUCGUGAAAUCCCCGGGCUCAACCUGGGAAUUGCGAUGGAGACUGCAAGGCUAGAAUCUGGCAGAGGGGGGUAGAAUUCCACGUGUAGCAGUGAAAUGCGUAGAGAUGUGGAGGAACACCGAUGGCGAAGGCAGCCCCCUGGGUCAAGAUUGACGCUCAUGCACGAAAGCGUG
rnacentral:rRNA from 1 species